rnacentral:rRNA from 1 species
CGAACGCUGGCGGCGUGCUUAACACAUGCAAGUCGACCGGAAAGGCCCUGCUUUUGUGGGGUGCUCGAGUGGCGAACGGGUGAGUAACACGUGAGUAACCUGCCCUUGACUUUGGGAUAACUUCAGGAAACUGGGGCUAAUACCGGAUAGGAGCUCCUGCUGCAUGGUGGGGGUUGGAAAGUUUCGGCGGUUGGGGAUGGACUCGCGGCUUAUCAGCUUGUUGGUGGGGUAGUGGCUUACCAAGGCUUUGACGGGUAGCCGGCCUGAGAGGGUGACCGGCCACAUUGGGACUGAGAUACGGCCCAGACUCCUACGGGAGGCAGCAGUGGGGAAUAUUGCACAAUGGGCGGAAGCCUGAUGCAGCAACGCCGCGUGCGGGAUGACGGCCUUCGGGUUGUAAACCGCUUUCGCCUGUGACGAAGCGUGAGUGACGGUAAUGGGUAAAGAAGCACCGGCUAACUACGUG